rnacentral:rRNA from 1 species
AGGAACUGCAUUUAAAACUAGUGAUCUAGAAUUUGGUAAGGGUUAGUAGAAUUUCCAGUGUAGAGGUGAAAUUCGUAGAUAUUGGAAAGAAUACCAGAAGCGAAGGCGACUAACUAGGCCAUUUUUGACGCUGAGAUACGAAAGCGUGGGUAGCAAACAGGAUUAGAUACCCUGGUAGUCCACGCAGUAAACGAUGAGUGCUAGUCGCUGGUGCAAUAGUAUCAGUGUCGUAGCUAACGCAUUAAGCACUCCGCCUGGGAAGUACGGUCGCAAGAUUAAAACUCAAAUAAAUUGACGGGGGCCCGCACAAGCGGUGGAGCAUGUGGUUUAAUUCGAAGCAACGCGAAGAACCUUACCAGACCUUGACAUGGUAUGUUUGAAUUACAGAAUAGUAAUUCUUCAGUUCGGCUGACAUACACACAGGUGCUGCAUGGCUGUCGUCAGCUCGUGUCGUGAGAUGUUGGGUUAAGUCCCGCAACGAGCGCAACCCUCAUUUUUAGUUGCCAUCAGGUUAUGCUGGGCACUCUAGAAAAACUGCCGGUGAUAAGCUGGAGGAAGGCGGGGAUGACGUCAAGUCCUCAUGGCCCUUACGGUCUGGGCUACACACGUGCUACAAUGGUGGUGACAGAGGGCAGCAAUAUCGCAAGAUAAAGCUAAUCCCUAAAAACCAUCUCAGUUCGGAUUGGACUCUGCAACUCGAGUCCAUGAAGUUGGAAUCGCUAGUAAUCGUAGAUCAGCGUGCUACGGUGAAUACGUUCUCGGGCCUUGUACACACCGCCCGUCACGCCAUGGGAGUUGGUUUUACCUUAAGCCGGUGCGCUAACCGCAAGGAAGCAGCCGUCCACGGUAGGGUCAGCGACUGGGGCGAAGUCGUAACAAGGUAACCGUA